UACGUAGGGGGCAAGCGUUGUCCGGAUUUAUUGGGCGUAAAGAGCGUGUAAGCGGCUUUACAGGUCCGUUGUGAAAACUCGAGGCUCAACCUCGAGACGCCGGUGGAAACCGUAAAGCUAGAGUCCGGAAGAGGAGAGUGGAAUUCCUGGUGUAGCGGUGAAAUGCGCAGAUAUCAGGAAGAACACCCGUGGCGAAGGCGGCUCUCUGGGACGGUACUGACGCUGAGACGCGAAAGCGUGGGGAGCGAACAGG
rnacentral:rRNA from 1 species